GACGAACGCUGGCGGCAUGCCUAACACAUGCAAGUCGAACGGAGAUUAUUUCGGUAAUCUUAGUGGCGAACGGGUGAGUAACGCGUGGGCAACCUGCCCUCUAGAUGGGGACAACAUCCCGAAAGGGGUGCUAAUACCGAAUGUGACAGCAAUCUCGCAUGAGGAUGCUGUGAAAGAUGGCCUCUAUUUAUAAGCUAUCGCUAGAGGAUGGGCCUGCGUCUGAUUAGCUAGUUGGUGGGGUAACGGCCUACCAAGGCGAUGAUCAGUAGCCGGUCUGAGAGGAUGAACGGCCACAUUGGGACUGAGACACGGCCCAGACUCCUACGGGAGGCAGCAGUGGGGAAUCUUCCGCAAUGGGCGAAAGCCUGACGGAGCAAUGCCGCGUGAGUGAUGAAGGAAGUCGUUCCGUAAAGCUCUUUUGUUUAUGACGAAUGUGCAGAUUGUGAACAAUGAUCUGUAAUGACGGUAGUAAACGAAUAAGCCACGGCUAACUACGUG
rnacentral:rRNA from 1 species